GACAGAGGGUGCUAGCGUUGUUCGGAUUUACUGGGCGUAAAGCGCACGUAGGCGGAUCGUUAAGUGAGGGGUGAAAUCCCAGGGCUCAACCCUGGAACUGCCUUUCAUACUGGCGAUCUCGAGUCCGGAAGAGGUGAGUGGAACUCCUAGUGUAGAGGUGGAAUUCGUAGAUAUUAGGAAGAACACCAGUGGCGAAGGCGGCUCACUGGUCCGGUACUGACGCUGAGGUGCGAAAGCGUGGGGAGCAAACAGG
rnacentral:rRNA from 1 species